rnacentral:rRNA from 1 species
UGCGUAGGCGGUUUAUCAAGUCAGGGGUGAAAGGCUACGGCUCAACCGUAGUGAGCCUCUGAAACUGGUGAACUUGAGUGUAGGAGAGGAAAGUGGAAUUCCCAGUGUAGCGGUGAAAUGCGUAGAUAUUGGGAGGAACACCAGUGGCGAAGGCGACUUUCUGGACUACAACUGACGCUGAGGCACGAAAGCGCGGGGAGCAAACA